ensembl:rRNA 5S_rRNA 5S ribosomal RNA
GUCUACGGCCAUACCACCCUGAACGCGCCCGAUCUCGUCUGAUCUCGGAAGCUACACAGGGUUGGCCUGGUUAGUACUUGGAUGGGAGAAAUACAGUACUCAAGACGCUACAGUUU